rnacentral:rRNA from 1 species
UACGGGGGGAGCAAGCGUUGUUCGGAUUUACUGGGCGUAAAGGGCGCGUAGGCGGCCAGCACAAGUCAGUUGUGAAAUCUCCGAGCUUAACUCGGAAAGGUCAACUGAUACUGUGCGGCUAGAGUGCAGAAGGGGCAACUGGAAUUCUUGGUGUAGCGGUGAAAUGCGUAGAUAUCAAGAGGAACACCUGCGGCGAAGGCGGGUUGCUGGGCUGACACUGA